ensembl:lncRNA
CAGGGACAACCCCGCCUCGCUGGCUAGAAGGUAGAGUCGGCUCCUGCCCGGUGAUCCGUCCUGGGGUUGAGGGGGCGGAGCAGGCCUGGGAACGUCACUUCCGGUGUACACAGCCGGUCCGGGCGUUGCGCUGGGGGCCAGGGCGCGUCGCAGGAAUCCAGCUUGCAUGACUUGGGGAAGUCAGGGAAUACUUCCUGAAGAAGGCUGUUGUUGAACUAAGUAUUGAGGAAAAAUUUAAUGAAGAUAGCUCCACAGAAAGGGGAGAGUACACUUAAAGAGGACCAUGACGUGUACAGAGAUGAAAGGAAACGACUUAGAGGCCUUAUGAAUACAUCCGUGCAUUCUUGCUUCAGACUUUACAAUUGAAGGCCAACCCAGUCUGGAAGCAACUCUUGUUACUGUUAUAAGGAAACCGCUACCUCAGCAAACAAAAGGAAAGGAAGACUUGUAAUAACGAAUGCCAUUUUUAAAGAAAACUUGUUUUCAGAAAACAGUACAGGAAAUUUGGAAAUUUUUAGUCUUGAGGAGAAGCUUUACAGGCAAAUGAUUUGACAGGCAGGCUCUGUCAAAAUAAUGCAGAGAUUUGAUCUCCCUUCUUAAGGACUUUGUGCGGAAUAACCCUGUAUUGCUUUUUAAGUUGCUGUUGAUCAGCUUGUGGGUUUUUGAGU